UACAACUUUCAACAACGGAUCUCUAGGCUCUCGCAUCGAUGAAGAACGCAGCGAAAUGCGAUAAGUAAUGUGAAUUGCAGAAUUCAGUGAAUCAUCGAAUCUUUGAACGCACCUUGCGCCCCUUGGUAUUCCGAGGGGCAUGCCUGUUUGAGUGUCAUGU
rnacentral:rRNA from 1 species